GGGGCUGUAGCUCAACUGGGAGUGUCUCCCUCGCACGGAGGAGGUCAGGGAUUCGAAUCCCCUCAGCUCUACCG
rnacentral:tRNA from 1 species